UAGAGCAUAAUUACUACAUCACAUCACAUCACAUCACAUCCCUUUCCCCUAAGAAGCUUCUGGCAGCAAAAUCGUUUUCUUCCCCGUUUUGGCGAUUUAGGGCUUCCUCGCAUCCUGGGAAAUGGCUCAUUCUCCUCGCAAAAGGUAUUCACGCUCUCCUUCUCCUUGGGAAGAAAAGUCGAGAUCUAGAUCUAGAUCAAGGUCUAGAUCGCCACCUGGGUCAUAUUCAAGGCCAAAGGGAAGAUCUAGGUCCAGAUCAAGGUCAAGAAGUCGUGGCAGGGAAGAAGUUUCUAAUCCAGGAAACACACUUUAUGUGACUGGUUUGUCUACAAGGGUCACUGAAAGGGACCUGGAGGAGCAUUUCUCAAAGGAGGGAAAGGUGAAAUCAGUUUUUCUUGUCAUGGAGCCGCGUUCUCGGAUUUCUCGUGGUUUUGCUUUUAUAACGAUGGAUAGCAUGGAGGAUGCUAAUCGUUGCAUUAAACACCUUAAUCAGUCGGUUCUUGAAGGCCGUUACAUUACAGUGGAAAAGUCUCGAAGGAAACGCGCAAGGACUCCUACUCCUGGUCACUAUCUAGGGCUUAAGAAUGCAAGGGGUGACGGUUAUCGUGGUGAUCGUGGAGACCUUGGUAGGUAUAGAGACCGUGGGGACUAUGGGUACCGAAGAUCUCCAAGGCAUUCACCAUAUAGAGGUGGACGAGAUUAUUCUCCUAGGCGCUCGCCUUAUGGGGGAAGGUCAAGAAGGGAGCGUUCUAGGUCAUAUUCUCCUUAUGGAAGGAGCUAUCCUCGUGGUCCCAGAUAGGACUUCGGCAAGUCGUCUGAAUCCCCAGUGGCAAUGGAAAACUGCUACAGGGAUCUAUAUAGUGUGGUGUAUCUAAGUUAGGAAGGAUGAUGAUAUUAAUGAAUGAAUGUUUAGUGUGUUUGUGUAUUGUCCUUAUCGCUAGCUGACUUCCUUACUGUAGCUGUGUUUGCAACAAGGUUUAAGUAGUGAACAAAAUGAAAUUACUAACCAUGGGAAAUAUAGUUCUCUACUGCUGAUUUGAUGGAA